GCAGUUGACUGUCACCCAGAAUACCCUUUGGUGGCUUUCCUACUUCACUCUUUUGCCUUCAAAUGAAACUGCACUUUUACAAGUCGGAACAUUUAAAGGAUGAGGGCUUUAUGAAGCCUAGGUUGAUCUCAAGAAUGUUAAGUAGCUGAAGAUGAAUUUGAACUCCUGAUCUACCCUCUUCAUUUCUCAAGUAUCAAGAACAUCCAUGAUACUACGAAGCUUAUCACUACCAUACCUGCUGAUGGGAGUGUAGAAAACAGACUAUGCAGGUGAGGGAAUGUAAAAUGUGGACAUCCUGAAAUUAAACUGGCACAUGCUUCUGAAUACAAAUCUGCAACAAUUACCCUUCUUGUCAUCAGUUAAUGUAUCCACACCUGAAAUACAAAAUGGAAGAAGAACAGAAAGACUAUGGUGGUGUCUAGAGUUACUGGAGAAGAGUGGAUAGUGUCUUGAAGGUUUUGAAGAAUCCCUUCCUAGGAGAUGAACCAAGGAUUUCAGCUGCUGACUAAGCAUAACUCUUGGGCAUGGUAUAAAAUGAUGAAAGAAAAGUUAUCACAAUCCAUGAAGUUAGCACCCUUAGAAGAGACAGAAUCCCACCUGCUGUGGGCCCCACACUACAGACAGAGAGCAUCAGCUCCAAGCAACCCUCCACUGAAGACAGAGACUGCAGACAGACCCCAGCUCACAAGCCUAGCUGCUUUUCCUCCCCAAUGAUGUUUGCAUCCUCUUAAACCAUGAACCAAAAUACUUCCUUGUUUACAUUGUUUCUGUUAGACAUUUUGGCACAGAAAUAAAAGGUCUCUCUCUCU